AACCUUGUUGCUAGGGCCGGGGUGGUUUGCGGCAGCCUUGGACGCUGCAGAGUUUGAAUCUUGAAGGCGAGGGAAAAGUUUUGCUCAGGUGUGGUGGAGUAGCGGAGAAUAGUGCUGGGGCUCUGGGGACAGGAAUGGGAGGCGACAGCGUGGCUUCCUAGGCCAGGUUGAGCUGGCGGCAUGGGCCACACCCGCUCAUCCCCCACGCAGACGAGUUGCGCACUUUGCGGAGACCCGCGCGCUCCUGCUGUUGGUGCGGCGACCCGCACGUGCGCGCCGGGGACGUGGACAGCCGGGACGCGUCGCUCGCGAGCUACCUGGCUCGUUCUGCUGCCUUCCUCCCCUCCCACGGACGCGCGGGUUUCCCCAGCCUACCCGGACGGGAAGUGACUGCAGUUAGGUUGAACUUCAGCAGGACAGAGAGGCCCGCAAGAAAUUCCGCUCACAGGAAAGCAGCAUGAGUAAUCCCCCGCACGGUGCCAGCGCCUAGAUCACCUGUCACCCUGCCUAUCCUAUCCUGCAGGAUCCCAGGGUGGCCAUACUCAGGGUUGUAGUGACUUGCCAUUGAGGCAUAACCUGUAACCCGAAAAGUCAGGAGCCUGAGGCAGGAGGAUGUCUGAGAGUUUGGGCUACAGAGUGGAACCCUGUCUCAAAAUAACUAAAUUUUACACUUAUCUGAGCAGUUGUCGCACUGGGAGGGCCUCAAAGCUAAAAGCAAGGGUUACUAAUGUGGGCUGACGCUGGUUUUUAUCUUAAGUCCUUCGACUUUGUUCAAGACCCAAAAUACCUUGAUACCUGUUUUCAGAAAUAGGGACUUAAGUUGACCCUUCUCCCCCUGCUUCCCACCCCUUUUCAAAGGAGGAAUUAUGUGGGACCACUCUAUGAGAUAAAUGAACUAAGCCAUUGUUUCAUAUAUGUAGUUAUUGUAUUGUUUUUAUGGAUAGAGAUAACAUACCAUAAACAUGCCUUAUAAUGUAAGAAAUACUACAUUAAAUCAGCACAGUAUGGAUAAAUGACACCUGCUGGUAGGUUUCUGCCUACGGAGUCUGCCAUACCCAAGGAAGGGUUUUUUUAUGGCGAUACACACCAGCAGUCUUUAAAUGUGGGAGGUGGAGGCAGGAAGGUCACACGUACCAAGCCAACUUUGAUUUGUAUAGUGAGACCCUGUCUGUAAAAACAAACAGCACCAACCAUGAGAUGUUAAAGAUUCAUUAAACGUAAGUAAGUGUACAGCCAGAGUCCAGUAAUUAAAAAGUGCUGGCUAUAGAUUAAACCCUUCCCACAUUUGCUGUGUCUGAAUAAUAGGACUAUACAUGUAGUUUGCAUAUCAGAUCUGUUCACUGCAAAACUAGACUUUUUCUUGGUCUAGUUCAUACAGGCAGUGCUUCUUCAGUACUGUGUUCACUGAAACAUACGUGUUAGAAUCGUGUCCUCAGAUUUGUGGCCUUGAAUCACCAUGUGUGAUUUAGUCCUUGGCAUCUUGAGUACCUGGCAUUACUCAAAUGAGCCAUGGCCAGGCCUCUGUGACUUUCUGAAUCACAUCAUAAACUUUUGUCUUUUACUGGAAAUUGUCUAGUUUCCAGCCAAAAAGAAAAGAAAAUGUUCUCUCUACCACAAUUUUACCUUCCCUUAAACUUGGAGGGGUCACACUUUCAGUUCUUUUCCUGGCUUGUGAACACUUCUGUGUUAUUCCUCAGCCUAACAAUCAUGGACACACAAACAGCCCAGAAGAAACUUAGUUCCUUCUGUGCUUACAGAUGUAGUUGGGCUGGGCUGCAGUAUUAACUAUGGGGACAGUAACCUUUCCGUGGGAUUGUCUGUAUCCUCAGCACCUACCAGAGUGCUUAACCGCCUUGUAAAGUUUAAUAAAUAUUUCUGGAAUAGGUUUUGUCUAAGUUUCCUGAACCUGUUCUUAUCAAUAAAGUAAAGGUUGUGUGCCUUACUUUAUCAUCGUUUCCGGAACUGUUAAGGUGAGUGAAGCCCUGUAGCUACCAUCCAUGGCCUUUCUAGACCGUAAGCUCUCCGUUUUCAUUUUCCUUUUCCCUAAGGCAUUACUUCUGCUCAGUUUGAUUUUUAAAAUACAUCCAGGAAAUACUGGUGAGCCAAAUCUACACAAAGUUUCACUUUCACAAAAACCUUUGAUAAUUUACAAAUUAAAUAUUUGGCUUCUGUUCGUAUUUCUAUAAUGUUAUUGAAGAUAUUUGAAAUCUUUGCUAGAGAGAGCAGACAGAAGUAAGUCUCAGAAUAUAGAACACUGCUUAAAACUUUAUUCUAUGUGACAGCUUUAUCUUAACCAAAGAAUGGGGAAAAUCUUUGGAAUCAAGUUAUAAAGGAAAUACAUAUUAAAAUUUAGACUAAAUCCAGCCCUUGGGAGGUAGAUAAAGGAGGAUCAGAAGUUCAAGAAAAUCCUUGGCUAUAUACUGAGUUCCAUGACAGCCUGGGCUACGGGAGAUGCUGUUUCAAAAUAAGAAUAGGUAGAAGGGCUAAGGAGGCCAGUGAGUUUAACUUGCAUCAUGUCUUGUUUGCAGUGACUGGUGUAUCACAGAACAUGCCUUCAGUUUGUGCAUUUGUUAGCGGGAUGUUGACACUGCUUUGGGUACUAGGAUUGUAUAUGUUGAGCAAGAUAUACUGUAACAUGUGGAUUGCUGUAUUUUCAAAAUUUAAUGGGAAGAUGUAAGUGUAUCCAUCCGAUUCUGAAUUUUCUAUACAAUUUUCAUACCCUAUGCACACACUUGCUUUUCAUGUAAGACUGGCUUACAAGUCAGGAUAAGCUCUGAUAGAUGACUAUUUUGAAGUUACUGGGUGUUUUGUAUCAAGGCCACCUCACUGUCCAAGUACAUUUGAGAUGUAUGACUAUGGUUCUCUAGGUAAUGUCAUGGAAGACUCCUCUGCCAGUGCUUCCUCUCCAUCCAGUGCCUGUUUCACAUUAGACCUUUGAAGGAGAGUGUUCUCCAUACAUGUUCCCUGGGGUUUCCAUUGCUGAUAAAGUACCAUGACCAAAGGCAACUUGGAGGAUAUUCUAGUUACUGUUCUGUUGCCGUGAAGAGACAUCUACUGACUAAGGUAGUUUUUAUAAAAGAAAGCAUUUAACUGAGGGCUUGCUUACAGUUUCAGAGGGUUAGUGCAUGAUCAUCAUUGGAGAAAGCAGGCAACCAUGCGCUUAGAGCAGUAGCUAAGAGUUUUAUAUGCUGAUUGCAGGCAGAGAGUGACUCUAUGUGGGCAUAGGCUUUUUAAACCUUAAAGCACACUUUCGGUGACAUACCUCCUCCCACAGGCCACACCCCCUAGUCCUUCCCAAAUAUUUCCACUUGAACAUGACUGAGCAUUCAAAUAUAUGAACCUGUGGGAGCCAUUGUUAUUCUAACCCCACCAGGAAUGAAAGGAUUUAUUCAAGCUUGCCAGUCUCAAAUCAGAUUUUUAUUACUGAAGGAAGCCAGGGCAGGAGCCUGCAAAUAGGGAUUGUUGCAGAGGCCAUGGCAGGAGUGCUGCUUACUGGCUUGAUCCUCAUGGCUUGCUUAGCCUGCUUUCUUAUAGCAUUUAGGACCACCAUCCUAGGAAUGACACUGCCCACAGUGGGCUCACAUGUUGGUCAUCAAUUAGGAAAAUAUA